CUAACAUUUUUCCCCCCAUCGUUGCACACUGAGAAAAUGAUUCUAUUUGAGCAGCAUCCUAGGGAAAAGGGGGGAGGCCAAUUGUGAUUGGUGUCAGUAAAGCUGGAGUUGGGGAGAGACUCCAGGCCUCAUGGACACCUCAGUGGAUGAGACACACCUGUCAUGAAUCUGACACCUGUUAACAUCUGUCCCUCCACCAGCAUGUAAGCCCCCAUGAUAGUCUUUCAAGCAGAGCCUGAUACAUAGUAUGUGCUAAGUAAGUAAGUUAUAUCAUGAAUGUUUCUCCGUAUCAUUCAGCACUCAUGAACAUUUUAAAGACUCUGAUCUUUCAUCAUUCUAAGUGAAUUGCUGAAGGCUUGGAAGGAAUCAUGUUGCCACACACGGUAUCUGAGUAGUGCCAUCUUCCCGGGCAAGACAUCAGACUUGGGAAGGCACACACCAUUUUAACUUGGAUGCACAGACACACAUCAUGUCCCAACGAAUCCUGGUAUGCACGCUCCUGGAACAAUCUGAAACAUCUCUGGGCAUGUUCAGUGUAUCACUCAAAAGGAAUGAGACUUGGUACAUGUCAGAUUCUCUGUGAGUCUCACGUUCAACAUGAACCACAGAAGAAUUCCACCGCAUCGACUCUUUAUGUACUCAGUGUGGGUGUAUAAGGGUGGAGCCUCUGUUCUUCACGAAACCUCUAGAUUGUGCUGAACUGGCCUUAAGUGCUGAAGAAGCUCUGGGAAGCUAUGAUGAACUGGGUGCCAUCAAAAAAGGCUGUAAGGAGGAGAACUCGGCCUAAUUGAAUAAAGAUUACAGUACACAUAUAAGUGUCAUUUCAAGUGUUU